rnacentral:rRNA from 1 species
UGGGGAAUAUUGCACAAUGGGGGAAACCCUGAUGCAGCGACGCCGCGUGAACGAAGAAGGUAUUCGUAUCGUAAAGUUCUGUCCUAUGGGAAGAUAAUGACAGUACCAUAGAAGAAAGCUCCGGCUAAAUACGUGCCAGCAGCCGCGGUAAUACGUAUGGAGCGAGCGUUGUCCGGAAUUAUUGGGCGUAAAGGGUACGCAGGCGGUUUAAUAAGUCGAAUGUUAAAGAUCGGGGCUCAACCCCGUAAAGCAUUGGAAACUGAUAAACUUGAGUAGUGGAGAGGAAAGUAGAAUUCCUAGUGUAGCGGUGAAAUACGUAGAUAUUAGGAGGAAUACCAGUAGCGAAGGCGACUUUCUGGACACAAACUGACGCUGAGGUACGAAAGCGUGGGGAGCAAACAGG